ACGUACAAAAAGUAAAAAUAAACAUUUCUUAUAGCGGUUGGAGAAGCACGCGCUUCUGGAUUCCAAAAACAGACUGCAGGAAGCAAAAAGAUGAAGAGGAUAUGUUUACAAUUCCAGAGAGAAAAUGAGGACCAAAUAUGUCUGUGUAAGCUACACCAAAAUGUGCUGAAAGCUGGGUUGCUGAAACUCAGUAAGGGCUGACUCAUAAUAGGAGGUGGUGGAAAGCAAUGAGGGAGACUAAUUUGAGAAGAUAUGGGUAACGGUUAUCCUACCCGGUCAAACAGGUCCGGCACACACACGCAGGUGCUCGGAUAAGCGGACAUGAAGCAGUGCACACACGGCUCAUUAUCAUGUUUAGUGACAUGGUAAAGCUUUCUUUGGCAUCUCAGAAAUAAAUACAAUUGUUUUUUGGGGUUUUUUUGCCCCCAAUCCUGGGACUUUUAGUCUUCAUCAAGUUUGAAGGUUUUUCUUCUGCAUACAUCCAUUUGACCUCUAAUGGCCAUCUUUAAAAUUUAAAGUGCAGUGUUUCCUCAAAGGAUUGGCAGAUUAAAGAAAAAAAAAAUUGGAAGUUGUGCCAAGCUCCAGUCAGAGACAGGCCCUCGAGCUGCUGCGUUCUCACAUUUCAGUGAGCAGGAAUGGGCAAAGCUCCAGGGAAAAGGACAUUCUCUCUUGUUGUUUCCAUUCCCCUGCAUUCCUGCCUCCCCUUGACAUGUGGCUCCAGAAGGGUGCAGCCGGAGACGAAGGGAGGAAGAGAUGUGGCGGAUCGUUCCAUCCAGACUGAAUACCUCGGUGCUGCCUUCUAGUAACUAAUCCCAUUGACAGAGACAGACACCUGCUCUCAUAUAAAGCCCUUCAACUCUUUUACAUUUAUGUAAAAGGUCCUUCAUUAUGGCGCCCCUGAAAUGCCGGCACCCCGUAACAUUUGCCUAUGCUGCCAAUGCCACAGGUAGGCCCUGCCUGAUCAACCCACACAAAGUUGUGAAGUGGAAGGACAAUAAAACAGUUUUUAAAAUUGCUCAAGAAUAAUAAUCUAAAAAAGUGCUGCAUGGUUAUAUAUUAUCCCCUUUUAAAUCAAUUCUUUGUAAAAACAUUUCUAAAAAACAACAUGAAGUGUGUUGGUGUUGGAGGUGCAUGCUGGUCUGAGCUGCCUGUCACCUUCCCGCCACGCAGUUCUGCUGUCAAGACUGAGAGCAAACUCUGGCUCCAGGCGAGAGAACAGCUCCUCACUACACUGUACGGUGACAAGGCACAGUAGCUUUCAGCCAACAGUUCGAGGUUGGAGGAGCUAAAAAUAUACAAUAACAACAACAAAAAAAAAGUCAAAAGUGACACAUUGCUCAGGUGUUGUGAGUUAAGCCUUCUGGUGUGUGCAACCGAUUCAGAAGUUUGAACGGAGCUCCUGAGGGAAGCUCGACAUCAACCCACAUGAACUGAAUUACAAUUUCACUCAAAGUAUGUAGAUACAGUAGAAUUACAAAUAUAUUCAAGUCACACUCUGUGCAGGCAGCGCAUUUCUAUAAAAGGGAAAGUCCGCUGUGAUUGCUAAACACCGUGUUGAAAUAUUAAAAACACAACAUGGCGAAAGAUUUUGAAAACACUUGGUCAUUUUGAAUUUGAUUCAAGCAGCACAUGUGAAGAAGAAAUAUUGGAACUUGGAGAUGUUUACAACCGAGUUGCAUCAUUUUCUUUCUUUUCAUUUUUCUUACAACACACUCCGUUAGCAAACUGUAGAGACCAGAGGUUACGCUGUUGAAAGGGAAAUGUUUCCAUUUAUUCCACUGCAAAUGUUUUCAGAGGGGGUAAACCUCAGUCUCUUUUGCUCCAGUGUAAUACUAAUGGCUAAUUUCAGAAAUGAUGCAGCCUGUUUGAUUAUAGAUACCAUUAGAUAUCGCUUUUCAGCACCGUUUAUCGCACACAUGCAGAUAAAAGAAAGGGGGCUGAGUUAAAUACGUCUGUACUGCUUCCCACUUCAAUUUCAAAUAAAUUAUCUAAAUAUAUAUCAUUUGUUUUGAAUUGCAAAUGUGAAUAAUAAAUAAAUAAAAUACAACUUAACUAAAAUGUUCAUCAUCUGAGCCAAAGAUAUUGGUUCCCAGACUUCUUAUGAGAAACAUUAAGUACAUGAAAGUGGUGAUUCUCUGUUUAGUUAGAGCAGAACAAACUAUGUGUGAUUCGUCUGCUUGCUCUUCUCAUCUUUGCAAGCAUUAAUGAAGCACCUUUUUAAUGAAAA